CCAAGGCUACGAUGGGUAGGGGUUCUUAGUGGAAGAUCCCCCACACUGGCACUGAGAUACGGGCCAGACUCCUACGGGAGGCAGCAGUAGGGAAUAUUGGUCAAUGGGCGCAAGCCUGAACCAGCCAUGCCGCGUGCAGGAUGAAAGCUCUCUGAGUUGUAAACUGCUUUUGUACAGGAGCAAAACAAUCCCUGCGGGGAUUCUUGAGAGUACUGUAAGAAUAAGCACCGGCUAAUUCCGUGCCAGCAGCCGCGGUAAUACGGAAGGUGCAAGCGUUAUCCGGUUUUAUUGGGUUUAAAGGGUGCGUAGGCGGCUUAUUAAGUCAGUUGUGAAAUCCUAGUGCUUAACGCUAGAACUGCAAUUGAUACUAUUAGGCUUGAGUUAAGAAUAGGUAAGUAGAAUUUAUGGUGUAGUAGUGAAAUGCUUAGAUAUCAUAAGGAAUACCAAUAGCGUAGGCAGCUUACUGGUCUUUAACUGACGCUGAGGCACGAAAGCGUGGGGAGCAAACAGGAUUAGAUACCCUGGUAGUCCACGCCGUAAACGAUGAUCACUCGAUAUACAAUAAACUUUUGUGUGUCUAAGCGAAAGCGUUAAGUGAUCCACCUGGGGAGUAUACUCGCAAGGGUGAAACUCAAAGGAAUUGACGGGGGUCCGCACAAGCGGUGGAGUAUGUGGUUUAAUUCGAUAAUACGCGAGGAACCUUACCUGGGCUAGAAUGUAUUUUGCUACUUUGAGAAAUUAAAGGUUCCUUCGGGACAAAAUACAAGGUGCUGCAUGGCUGUCGUCAGCUCGUGCCGUGAGGUGUUGGGUUAAGUCCUAUAACGAGCGAAACCCUUUUACUUAAUUGCCAGCACGUAAUGGUGGGAACUUUAAGUAGACUGCCCGUGUAAGCGGGAGGAAGGAGAGGAUGAGGUCAAGUCAUCAUGGCCUUUAUGCCCAGGGCUACACACGUACUACAAUGGCAUGUACAAAAGGAAGCUACUUGGUAACAAGAUGCAAAUCUCAAAAGCAUGUCUCAGUUCGGAUUGAGGUCUGCAAUUCGACCUCAUGAAGUUGGAAUCGCUAGUAAUCG
rnacentral:rRNA from 1 species